CGGGAAUUAGCUCAGCUUGGUAGAGCGCAGCGUUCGGGACGCUGAGGUCGCACGUUCGAAUCGUGUAUUCCCGA
rfam:Lactobacillus wasatchensis strain WDC04 contig00047, whole genome shotgun sequence.